CACACCUCAAGUGGUCAGGAUGAUUAUUGGGCCUAAAGCAUCCGUAGCCGGCUCUGUAAGUUUUCGGUUAAAUCUAUGCGCUCAACGUAUGGGCUGCCGAAAAUACUGCAGAGAUAGGGAGUGGGAGAGGUAGACGGUACUCGGUAGGAAGGGGUAAAAUCCUUUGAUCUAUCGAUGACCACCUGUGGCGAAGGCGGUCUACCAGAACACGUUCGACGGUGAGGGAUGAAAGCUGGGGGAGCAAACCGGAUUAGAUACCCGGGUAGUCCCAGCCGUAAACGAUGCAGACUCGAUGAUGCAUUGGCAUAUAGCCAGUGCAGUGUCGCAGGGAAGCCGUUAAGUCUGCCGCCUGGGAAGUACGUACGCAAGUAUGAAACUUAAAGGAAUUGGCGGGGGAGCACCACAAGGGGUGAAGCCUGCGGUUCAAUUGGAGUCAACGCCAGAAAUCUUACCCGGAGAGACAGCAGAAUGAAGGUCAAGCUGAAGACUUUACCAGACAAGCUGAGAGGUGGUGCAUGGCCGUCGCCAGCUCGUGCCGUGAGAUGUCCUGUUAAGUCAGGUAACGAGCGAGAUCCCUGCCACUAGUUGCUAUCAUUAUUCUCAGGAAUAGUGGGGCGAAUUAGUGGGACUGCCGUUGUUAAAACGGAGGAAGGAAGGGGCUACGGCAGGUCAGUAUGCCCCGAAACUCUGGGGCCACACGCGGGCUGCAAUGGUAGCGACAAUGAGUUCCAAACUCGAAAGAGAGUGGCAAUCCCUAAACGCUACCACAGUUAUGACUGAGGGCUGCAACUCGCCCUCACGAAUAUGGAAUCCCUAGUAACCGCGUGUCAUUACCGCGCGGUGAAUACGUCCCUGCUCCUU
rnacentral:rRNA from 1 species